rnacentral:rRNA from 1 species
UACAGAGGUCUCAAGCGUUGUUCGGAUUCAUUGGGCGUAAAGGGUGUGUAGGUGGCGCGCUAAGUCGGGUGUGAAAUUUCGGAGCUUAACUCCGAAACUGCAUUCGAUACUGCCGUGCUUGAGGACUGGAGAGGAGACUGGAAUUUACGGUGUAGCGGUGGAAUGCGCAGAUAUCAGGAGGAACACCGGUGGCGAAGGCGGGUCUCUGGGCAGUAACUGACGCUGAGGAGCGAAAGCGUGGGGAGCGAACAGG